ACGGCUCAGUAACACGUCGAUAACCUUCCCUACGGUCAGGCAUAAUCUCGGGAAACUGAGUGUAAUACCUGAUAGGGGAUGGGCACUGGAAUGUCCCAUCCCUGAAACUCGUGCCGUAGGAUGGGUCGGCGGCGGAUUAGGCAGUUGGUGGGGUAACGGCCCACCAAACCUUUGAUCCGUACGGGCCAUGAGAGUGGUAGCCCGGAGAGGGACACUGGAAUACUGGUCCCAGCCCUACGGGGUGCAGCAGGCGCGAAACCUCCACAAUGCACGAAAGUGUGAUGGGGGAUCCUACGUGCUCAUGUCUGACAUGGGCUUUUGCCAAGGCCAGAGACCUUGGCGAAUAAGGGGUGGGCAAGACCGGUGCCAGCCGCCGCGGUAACACCGGCGCCCCGAGUGGCAAUCGCGAUUAUUGGGCCUAAAGCGUCCGUAGCCGGACAGGUAAAUCUUCUGUGAAAUCGUUGCGCUUAACGUAACGGCGCGCAGGGGACACUGCCUGUCUCGAGACCGGGAGGAGUCAGAGGUAUGCCGUGGGGACUGGUAAAAUGGUAUAAUCCACGGUAGACCACCAAUGGCGAAGGCAUCUGACCAGAACGGAUCUGACGGUGAGGGACGAAAGCCAGGGGAGCGAACCGGAUUAGAUACCCGAGUAGUCCUGGCCGUAAACGCUGUGAGCUAGGUGUUGCCUAUCCCAUGAGGAUGGGCAGUGUCGAAAUGAAGAUGCUAAGCUCACCGCCUGGGAAGUACGGUCGCAAGACUGGAACUUUAAGGAAUUGGCGGGGGAGCAC
rnacentral:rRNA from 1 species